rnacentral:rRNA from 1 species
UACGUAGGGGGCAAGCGUUGUCCGGAUUUAUUGGGCGUAAAGAGCGUGUAGGCGGCUAGGUAGGUCCGUUGUAAAAACUCGAGGCUCAACCUCGAGACGCCGAUGGAAACCAUCUAGCUAGAGUCCGGAAGAUGAGAGUGGAAUUCCUGGUGUAGCGGUGAAAUGCGCAGAUAUCAGGAAGAACACCCGUGGCUAAGGCGGCUCUCUAGUACGGUACUGACGCUGAGACGCGAAAGCGUGGGGAGCAAACAGG